GACGAACGCUGGCGGCGUGCUUAACACAUGCGAGUCGAACGGAAAGGCCCUGCUUUUGUGGGGUGCUCGAGUGGCGAACGGGUGAGUAACACGUGAGUAACCUGCCCUUGACUUUGGGAUAACUUCAGGAAACUGGGGCUAAUACCGGAUAGGAGCUCCUGCUGCAUGGUGGGGGUUGGAAAGUUUCGGCGGUUGGGGAUGGACUCGCGGCUUAUCAGCUUGUUGGUGGGGUAGUGGCUUACCAAGGCUUUGACGGGUAGCCGGCCUGAGAGGGUGACCGGCCACAUUGGGACUGAGAUACGGCGCAGACUCCUACGGGAGGCAGCAGUGGGGAAUAUUGCACAAUGGGCGGAAGCCUGAUGCAGCAACGCCGCGUGCGGGAUGACGGCCUUCGGGUUGUAAACCGCUUUCGCCUGUGACGAAGCGUGAGUGACGGUAAUGGGUAAAGAAGCACCGGCUAACUACGUG
rnacentral:rRNA from 1 species